GGUUGAUCCUGCCAGUAGUCAUAUGCUUGUCUCAAAGAUUAAGCCAUGCAUGUCUAAGUAUAAACUGCUUAUACUGUGAAACUGCGAAUGGCUCAUUAAAUCAGUUAUAGUUUAUUUGAUGGUACCUCUACUCGGAUAACCGUAGUAAUUCUAGAGCUAAUACGUGCGCACAUCCCGACUUCUGGAAGGGACGUAUUUAUUAGAUAAAAGGCCAGCCGGGGUUUCCCCGACCUGCGUUGACUCAUGGUAACUUCACGAAUCGCAUGGCCUCCGUGCCGGCGAUGUUUCAUUCA
rnacentral:rRNA from 1 species